ACUCAAAGGAAUAGACGGGGACCCGCACAAGCGGUGGAGCGUGUGGUUUAAUUCGAGGAUACGCGAAGAACCUUACCAAGGCUUGACAUCCUCAGAAUCUCUAAGAAAUUAGAGAGUGCCUUCGGGAAUUGAGUGACAGGUGAUGCAUGGUCGUCGUCAGCUCGUGUCGUGAGAUGUUAGGUUAAGUCCUUGAACGAGCGCAACCCUCAUGGUUAGUUGGAUUUUUCUAACCAGACUGCCUCGGCAACGGGGAGGAAGGAGGGGAUGAUGUCAGAUCUGCAUGUCCCUUACGUCUUGGGCUACACACACGCUACAAUGGCCGGUACAAUGGGUCGCUAAGCCGCAAGGUGGAGCUAACCCCACCAAAACCGGUCCCAGUUCGGAUUGCAGGCUGAAACUCGCCUGCAUGAAGUCGGAAUCGCUAGUAACCGCAGGUCAGCACACUGCGGUGAAUACGUUCCCGGGUCUUGCACACACCGCCCGU
rnacentral:rRNA from 1 species